GUUUGAUCAUGGCUCAGGACGAACGCUUGCGGCGUGCCUAAGAAAUGCAAGUCGAGCGGGGAGCUAGAUUUCGGUUUAGCUUCUAGCGGCGAACGGUCGCGUAACACGUAAGCAACCUGCCCCGAAGACCGGGACAACAGCUCGAAAGGGCUGCUAAUACCGGAUGUGGCCAUUGGGGGACAUCCCCUGAUGAUUAAAUCGAGCAAUCGGCUUCGGGAGGGGCUUGCGGCCUAUCAGCUAGUUGGUGGGGUAACGGCCUACCAAGGCGACGACGGGUAGCUGGUCUGAGAGGACGGCCAGCCGGACUGGGACUGAGAUACGGCCCAGACUCCUACGGGGGGCAGCAAUUAGGAAUCUUGCGCAAUGGGCGAAAGCCUGACGCAGCGACGCCGCGUGGAGGAGGAAGUCCUUCGGGAUGUAAACUCCUUUUGCCAGGGAAGAACACAAUGACGGUACCUGGUGAAUAAGCCCCGGCUAACUACGUGCCAGCAGCCGCGGUAAUACGUAGGGGGCGAGCGUUGUCCGAAGUUACUGGGCGUAAAGCGCGCGUAGGCGGGGGAUUAAGUGAGAGGUGAAAGGCUGGGGCUCAACCUCAUGCAGUGCCUCUCAUACUGGUCUUCUUGAGGGCGGUAGGGAGAAGUGGAAUGGCUGGUGUAGCGGUGAAAUGCGUAGAUAUCAGUCGGAACACCGGUGGCGAAGGCGGCUUCUUGGGCCGUUCCUGACGCUGAGGCGCGAAAGCUGGGGGAGCGAACGGGAUUAGAUACCCCGGUAGUCCCAGCCGUAAACGAUGGAUACUAGGUGUCGGGGGUAUCGACCCCCCCGGUGCCGCAGCUAACGCAUUAAGUAUCCCGCCUGGGGAGUACGGCCGCAAGGUUGAAAC
rnacentral:rRNA from 1 species